rnacentral:rRNA from 1 species
AGGACGAACGCUGGCGGCGUGCUUAACACAUGCAAGUCGAGCGGUAAGGCCUCCUUCGGGGGGUACACGAGCGGCGAACGGGUGAGUAACACGUGGGUGACCUGCCCUCAGCUCUGGGAUAAGCCUGGGAAACCGGGUCUAAUACCGGAUGGGACUGCUUGCCGCAUGGUGGGUGGUGGAAAGUUUUUUCGGCUGGGGAUGGGCCCGCGGCCUAUCAGCUUGUUGGUGGGGUGAUGGCCUACCAAGGCGGUGGCGGGUA